CCAGCAACUUGGAGGAAUGUAUAGCAAUAGCUGAUUGCACCAACAAAUGGUUGAUGCAAUAUUGACUCUGUCAAAUAAAAUUCUAGGUAGAAUUAUGAUAAUGACAUUGUCUGCCUAUAUGUCUUGACCAAAUUACGUGCCAGCAGUCGCGGUAAUACGUAGAAGACUAGUGUUAUUCAUCUUUAAUAGGUUUAAAGGGUACCUAGACGGUAAAUCAAGCCUUCACAGGGACUAAUUUACUAGAGUUACUUACGAGGGGGUAUUAAAGUACUGCAGGUGUAGAGAUGAAAUUCUGUCAUACCUCUUUUCAAAAGAAAAAUUAUGGCACAGGUAUAGGUGAAAGCAUCCCCUUAUGUGAUAACUGACGUUGAAGGACGAAGGCUUUGUGUCGCGAACAGGAUUAGAUACCCCAGUAGUCAAAGCAGAAAAUGAUGAAUGUCAUAGAUUAGAUAUAUAGUUUAUUCUAUAAAUGAAAAUGUAAGCAUUCCACCUCAAGAGUAAUUUGGCAACAUUGGAACUGAAAUCAUUAGACCGUUUCUGAAACCAGUAGUGAAGUAUGUUGUUUAAUUUGAUGAUCCGCAAAAAACCUUACCACAAUUUGAAUAUUUGUAUCUAUCUUUUUUUUCGUAAAAAAAUAAAAAGGUAAUAUAUUUACAAGCGUUGCACGGCUGUCUUCAGUUAAUGUCGCGAGACUUUGGUUAGUUCCAUUUAAUUAACGUAAACCCUUACUUUAUUUUUAUAUGAAGUAGUUCCCCGCUAUAUUGGAUAUGAUAACAGGGACUAGGACAAGUCAUCAUGG
rnacentral:rRNA from 1 species